UACGAAGGGGGCUAGCGUUGUUCGGAAUUACUGGGCGUAAAGGGCGCGUAGGCGGUCCUGAUCGUCGGAUGUGAAAGGCCUGGGCUCAACCUGGGAACUGCAUCCGAUACGGCGGGACUGGAGUGUGGGAGAGGUUGGUGGAAUUCCCAGUGUAGAGGUGAAAUUCGUAGAUAUUGGGAAGAACACCGGUGGCGAAGGCGGCCAACUGGACCACAACUGACGCUGAAGGCGCGAAAGCCAGGGGAGCAAACGGGG
rnacentral:rRNA from 1 species